rnacentral:lncRNA from 1 species
GGCCUCCACAGCCACAUCCUCUGCAACCUCCUCAAGUCUGCAAACCACUCUCGCCCCCUCGAGCCCGUCCUCCACGUACACGGCCUCGACCUCAACCUCCUCGCUCACCGCCUCUACUCCAACAUCCUCGCACACGGCCUCAACUCCAACAUCCUCAGGCAUAGCCUCCAGCUCCUCCACAACCACCACCAACCCGACCUCCUCCUCAGCAGCCUCCACUCCAGCAUCCUCUGCUACCUCCUCGAGUCCUACCUCCUUGAUUACCACCUUGAUCUCGACCUCCUCCGUUACGAGCCCAACUUCUGACUCCUUUGCCUCAUCCUCAGCCCUGAGCACCACGCACCCUAUUACCACCACCAUGCUUCCAACCUCCUUCACUCUUCCUACUGCCACCAGCACUCUCCCCACCACCACACUGACCACCACCACUGCGCACCCAGCCACCAACUCCCAGCCAACCAGCACCACCACCACGCUCUCCAUCACCACCGCACUUUCCACCACAACAACCACACUCCUCACCACCAUGCUCCCAACCACCACCACCACAAUCCCCACCUCCACCACCACGCUCCUCACCUCCACGCAGCAAGCCAACACCACCAACACUCAGCCAACCCACACCACCACACUCCCCACCACCAAAACGCACCCAGCCACCACCACUAUUACUAUCACACUCCCCAUGACCACCAUCAAGCUCCCCACCACUACCACCCAGCCUAUCAGCACCACCACACUCCCCACCAGCACACAAACAGCCACUACCAACAACACCCACCCAACCAGUACCACCACCAUGCCCCCCACCACCAACAACCAGCUGACCACCACUACGCACCCCACCACAACCACACUCCCCAGAACCACCACGCACCCAAUGAUGAUCACCACUCACCCGACCACUGCCACUACACACCCGACUACCACCACCACGCUCACCACCACCACUACGAAGCCGACCACCACCACUACGCGCCCAGCCACAACCACCACUAUGACCACCACCAAGGCCACCACAAGCCCAGCCACCAGCUCUACCACCCCAGAUAUCUGCAUAAACGGAGGCACGUGGGUCAACGGCCAAUGCGUGUGUCCCCCGGGAUACACGGGCACCACCUGCAAUUCCAUCGAAAGCAGCAUCGAGACCAAAGCCGGUAGGGAGCCCUCUGCGCCCACCUCC